rnacentral:rRNA from 1 species
CAGCAGCCGCGGUAAUACGUAGGGUGCGAGCGUUAAUCGGAUUUACUGGGCGUAAAGCGUGCGCAGGCGGCCCGUUAAGACAGGUGUGAAAUCCCUGGGCUCAACCUAGGAAUUGCGCUUGUGACUGGCGGGCUCGAGUACGGUAGAGGGGGGUGGAAUUCCUGGUGUAGCAGUGAAAUGCGUAGAGAUCAGGAGGAACACCGAUGGCGAAGGCAGCCCCCUGGGCCUGUACUGACGCUCAUGCACGAAAGCGUGGGGAGCAAACAGGAUUAGAUACCCGUGUAGUCCCUGUCUCUUAUAC